rnacentral:rRNA from 1 species
GCAGCCGCGGUAAUACGGAGGAUGCAAGCGUUAUCCGGAUUCAUUGGGUUUAAAGGGUGCGCAGGCUGUAAAGCAAGUCAGUGGUGAAAGCCCUGGGCUUAACUCAGGGAUUGCCAUUGAAACUGUUUUACUAGAGUGUAGUAGAGGACGGCGGAAUGAGUUGUGUAGCGGUGAAAUGCAUAGAUAUAACUCAGAACACCUAUUGCGUAGGCAGCUGUCUAUACUACAACUGACGCUGAGGCACGAAAGCGUGGGGAGCGAACAGGAUUAGAUACCCUGGUAGUCCACGCUGUAAACGAUAAUCACUCGUUGUUGGCUACUUAGUAGUCAGUGACCAAGGGAAACCGAUAAGUGAUCCACCUGGGGAGUACGUCGGCAACGAUGAAACUCAAAGGAAUUGACGGGGGCCCGCACAAGCGGAGGAACAUGUGGUUUAAUUCGAUGAUACGCGAGGAACCUUACCUGGGCUUAAAUGCUGGCUGCAUUGGAGGGAAACCUUCAUUUCCUACGGGACCGCCAGCAAGGUGCUGCAUGGUUGUCGUCAGCUCGUGCCGUGAGGUGUCGGGUUAAGUCCCAUAACGAGCGCAACCCCUAUCGCUAGUUGCCAGCAUGUAAUGGUGGGGACUCUAGCGAGACUGCCGGUGUAAACCGGAGGAAGGUGGGGAUGACGUCAAAUCAGCACGGCCCUUACGUCCAGGGCUACACACGUGUUACAAUGGCCGGUACAAAGAGCAGCCACCUGGCGACAGGGCGCUAAUCUCUAAAACCGGUCUCAGUUCGGAUCGAAGUCUGCAAUUCGACUUCGUGAAGGUGGAUUCG